rnacentral:lncRNA from 1 species
AGAUCUAUCUGUCUUGGAAGAGCGGUCCUGGGGAGGUGAAGCAUUGGAAGGACAUGAUUGCCCGUCCUCGGCAGCCCGUGGCUCAGUGGCACCAACUGAAGGCCUGAGUGGGGCCUGGGGAGGCCCGGGGGUGGGGCUGUGGGCCGUGGUUUGGGGGUCACGCCUUCACACUUUAUGCACAACGCCCUGGGCGUGGCUCCCCCAUCGGGUGGGGGGAAGGACCCCUGUGGCUCAGCCAGGGAGGGGGCCCAGGACUCAGUAUGGCCAUGUUUCUAGGAAACGCCAGCCCCCCCCCAUCUCGGGGGUCUUUGGGAGCCAUUUUCCUGCUUGCCCCUUUUCUUCAGCUCGCCGACACUAAAGAAACAGGAGGGGGGACAGAGGUAGAGAGCGAGAGAGACGGUUGGACGGAGACGGCCGGACGGCGGGGGUGAGAUCCUCCAGGGGCCCCAUGGCAGGCCGGACCGCUCGCCACUUUCUUUAAGGCGGCCUCUGGAGACCACCCUGGUCAGCGAGGGCACGCGGCGGCCAUGGCGAUUGGCCAGGCCCUCCUCCCUCGGGGGGUGUUUAUUUUGAGCCGUCCGGGGCCCCGUGUGCCAAGGGGGGAUAAAUAGCCCGGCUUCCAGCCAAGGGCCGGGGUACAUGUGCUGUGUCUGUGUGCGUGUGUGUGUGAGCGUGCAGGGGCCUGUUGGCUCCAGACUGCUCGCUGCGCUGGGCCCCAGGUUGUGCUGAGGGGCCGUGUUUGGGAAAGGAGGAGGGCGCAGAGAGACAAGAAGGAUCCUGGGGAAAGAGGGAGGGAAUGAGCAGGUCCUUAGGGCCGACAGCCAGCCGAGGGAAAAGGGAGCAGGGACAGCCUUUCUGUACAGUCCCCCCGUAUCUAGAAUUUAGAGCUGGAAGGAGCCUCGGAAGCCACUUUUCCCAGACCCCUCAUUUUUCACCUAAGGAAAUGGCUCCCAGACCUGCCCAGAGUCCUGAGUAGUAGAGCCCAGAAGCUCGGGCCUUUGAUUCCCAGUCUCGUUACCGCUUAGACUGGACCUUCCGCUGGUUUGAGAACAAGGACAUUGUGCUUUCCUAUCCCCAUGUCUGCCUUCCAUUCAUGGAGACCAGGGUAUGGCGUCCGAAUUAUCUGGGCUUGUCCAAGCGGUUUCUGGCGCCCCCCCCCCCCACGCGGAACGGGGCUUCCCGCUGGCUCCCCUUCCCUCCCAAAACACGAAGUAUGAAAUCCUGUGUGUAUGAAAACUACUUAGUCCUUGUGGUAUUUUUUUUUUUUUAGAAUAAAAAUAGGCAUAGGAUUGUAGGAGUUAGAGUUCCAAGGGCCCUUUAGGGGCCUCUAGUCCAACCCUCUCAUUUCUGAAACAGGGAAACGGCCUAGAGGGGGAGGGCUGAGGUCACUGAGCCAGAGGGCAGCAGGAGCAAGGGCAGAGCUGAGUUACGCCCCCGGACCAUCCCGCCCCGACCCCGCCACGCCGCCCCUCUCCUGUUAGCUUCUGUAGGGCCCUGCCCCCAGCCCCCUCCUCUCCAGAGAACCCAAACCAAAGUGAGCAGAGCAUGGCCAGCUCCACGUGAGCCAAGUCUCCAAGGCCCUUCCAGGAAAUGGCCAAUCACGCAGAGGGCUGGCUCCCUUGCCGGGUGACCCCGUUGCUGAGAAUUUUAAGUAGGCCGGCCCCAGCCAGCACCCAAGCAAGCCUUGCUCCAUCCCGGAGCCUCCGUGUGGCUCCUGGUCCUCCCUUUCCCACUAAGUGGUCCCAUGUUGUCCCCCCCCACUUCCACUGCCUUCAUUCUCACUGGGAAAAGCGCUCCCUCCAGCCCUGUCAAGCCUUGGUCCUUCUCCCCCGUUCUUUCAGACCUUCCAUUUCUCCUUUCCGGGCCGACUCCCCAUCUCCCUCCCAUAUUGUCAGAGUCUUAGAACAGAGGAUCCCUGAGCUGACAGGGAAGGGCCUUAGAACGCCGAGGGCCCCAAGACCUUGGAACGUGACCCAUGAGAACGCUGCACGGGCCCUUGGAACUCGGGAGAUUUUCAGACCUGGGAGAAAAUUUCCAAGGCAGGAUCUCAGAGCUGGAAGGGACCUUGGAACACAGAAUGCUGGGAGCCACCUUGGAAGGCCGAAUCUCCAGCUGUAUGGGACGUUAGAAUAGAGAUGGUUGGGACAUCAACAAGAGAGCCGGACUUAGAACAGGCUGGAAAAGAGUUUUGGCAUAUUAUUCAGAGCUAGAAGGGAAUCUAGAACACAGAAGAUCAGAGCUACAGAGGAGGGGGUCGUCUCAGGAUAUAAAGUGUAGGAGGUCAGACCUAGGAAUGAUUUUUUAGGGUCUAGAAAAUGCGGUGUCAGAUAUUAGACCAUAAAAGGUCAGAGCUAGAAGGAGCCUUAGAGCAUAAAAAUGGCCCUAGAAGGUCCAAGCUAGAACCUCAAAGACUGGCUCAUCCACACCUGCGACUUCCCAGAUCCCUCUCUCCCUGCCCAGCAGCUCCAUUAAGCUCUGCUAACCCAGAGGGCCCCCCCCCACUCUGCUAGGAUCAUCCCCUCCCCCUCCUGUGAAUGCUGGGAAUUGGAGUGACUAUUGAUUUACCCCCAAAGUCCAUCUGAGCGCCUGACCGGCCCAAAAGAGGCUUGAGGAGGCCACAUCCCCUCUCAUUCUGCUCUCCCUCUGUCCCUUCUCCAUGUCCACUCCUUGCCCAAAGAAAUGGGAUGGAACCCCUGGAAUUCCCCUAAGACGAUGAGGAGACAAGGCUCGGGGCCCUGCUGGCUCCCGGAGAGUUGGUACCUUCCGGGUGAUCCCAGCAGAGCUUCCCCACCCCAGGAGCAGGAUUUGGUCCCAGUCCCCUGGGAGCAGGUAUAGACAUGCAGUUCCCUACCCUGGCCACCAGAUGGCAAAUAGACAUCAUGGUCUGGCGGGCUCUUGUAGAAAAGUUGACCUGGGAGGGAGGACGUAUUUGGGGUGGGGAAGAGAAGAGGGUGAAAGGGGACCCCAGGAAAGGCUGAGGGUGACCCCAGGUCCAAAGGUGCCAGGGCUCCAGGAGGCUGGAGGUUUGCUCUCAGAGUACAGAUUGCUCUGCUGCAGACCCAGAGGGAGGGCAGGACAGAGGCGCUCAGAACUGGAAGAUCUCCGAGCCUAGAAGGUGCAUGCAGAGGGAGCCCCUGAGCAGGGUCUUGCUUGCCCAUGGGGCACCUGAAUUAGAGAGGAGGGCUCUGACCCCAGUUCUCCAGGCGCCGUACCCACAUAUCCUUGCCCGGCUUUCCAUCCCAGAUAAUUCGUCCCAGGAGCUCUGAAGCCCAGCCUGGCUAAGGGCUCUCUCUCAUUGUCCCCCUGUGUCAUUUUGGGCAAAUCCCUUGAUUCCUACAGGGACUGGGGGAGAUGACUAAGGUCCUUUCCAGUGCUCGAUCUAGGAUUCUGUCACCCUAAGAGGGAAAAAACUGGGCUCCUCUGCUCUGGAUUCCUUACUUGUUAUUUCAUAAGCCCACCGUGUGACCUCGGCAGGUCACUUCAUCGCUGUUUCCUCAUUGGCUAAGUGGGGGCUGGAAGGGGUCACUUGGGUCCUUUCAGAUUUAAAUUCUAUGAUCCAACAAAGGGCAGUCUUGGGUUUGUGUGGAGGGAGCAAUGAAACUGAGUAGGUGGAGAAAGCAGGGGGCAGAGUGGGAGAGGAAGCUCAGAGAGGGCCAAGAGAAUGGAGAUGGAUCAAUACAGAAGCUCAGUUUCCUCCUCUGUAAUUGGAUCAGACCCCCUAUGAGGCCUCUGUUGGUUCUAAAUCCUGAUGGUGGAAGCCUGGGAGUCUGCUUUGGAGAGGAAGGCGAAAGGAACAGGAAGGGGUUAAUAGGCUCUGGGGGUAUCUCACAUGUCUCCCCCUUUUCCCCCCUCCCCCUCCUCAUGGGCCAGCCAGCAAGCCCCCAACUUUGCCAUUCUUGCUAGUGAUUCCCAGCUCUGGGGUCAGACCAAAUCGUAUUAGAGCGGCCGGAGCCAAGCAUCUUUGGGUGCUCGGCCGGGGCGUUUCUUGGCCAAUCACAUGCGGAGACGCUCUCCAGGUGGUGUCUUUUGUUGUUGUUGAAAGGGGGACUGGUGGGCUCAGGUACACAUCAGGGAUGGGACCCCAGCUUCCUCUACCUCCUCCUCCCCUUUACCUUACAUUGUCGGUUAGAUUGUUGACGCUUCCUGUCCCCGUGAAAUGUCCACUCCAUGUCGUUGCAGCUGAGGGAGGGAGGGAAGAAGGAAUAGUUAAGGAGACAGUGUGGAGAGGGAAGCCCAUCCUGGGUCUUUAUGUGACUGAAGCGUGGAUAUUUGAUGCACAUCCUCAGACCAAUGGGUAGGAAAGCCUAGUGGGAGGUCAGAGGUAGAUGUGAGAAGGAGAGAGAAGAAGCAGGGAGAGCCGAGGUAGCCCCACCAUCACCCACAGACCCCAGCUCCAUUUGUGGUAGUUGUAAAUGCUUCACUUACCUCACAGGAGAGGUUAGAUGGUGUCCAGGGGUGCCCCGAAUGCCCUUGGAUUCUGGAGGGGCUAGCCAAGGGCAAAAUGUUAUCAUGCCCUUUGCCCUCCCCAGUGCUAGGAUCGCUGAGGCUGUCUGCCCUCCCCGCCCCAGUGUCCCAUGUCCUCCAGUCCCCAUCAGGGUGUGAGCCUUGUGUGUGUUCUCCUUGGGGGAUGCUCGAGCUCUCAGCUAUGACCUUUUUCAGGUAUGUCUUUCUUCUUGUGACCAUCCUCCUGUAACUGCUGUACAGAGUUCUCCCUCCCGAUUCCCCCCCCCCAGCCCUUCCCCCAGCAGUGCACCCGAGGGAGGGGACGGGAGAGACGGCAGCCUAAAGGCUGGGGCGCGGGGGUGGGGACCCUGCCGUUUCCAUUCUGUUGAGUCCUCUUCCAGCAAGUGUUUUAUAAAAAAAGAAAAAAAGAAAAAAUUCACCACCACAAAACAAAAACAAACAAACAAAACCAAACCACAAACCUCAACGUUCUCAGUGAAGAGAAAGGAAGAAAAACUAAGGGGAAAAAAAACCAUAAAACCGUUUCCACCAACACCCUCUAAGCCAGCGAGAUUUCCUCUUUGCAGAUUCAUAUUUUUGUGGGAAUGGCCCCUGCUUUUUGUGGAGUGGGGCCAUUCUGGUUAAUAAAGGAUAGUGAAAAAGCAGGGCUUUGGCUCCUUCCUCCGCCGUUCCUCAGCAAACCUCCCCCCCCCCCCUUUCAGGAGAAGCAGGUGAAGGAGAUGGGGAGGGACCUAGCACCCUCCCAGGAGGAGGUGAAGGAGAUGGGGAGGAGUUCAGCCCCCUCCCCAGGAGGUGAAGGAGAGGGGGAAGAGCUCAGCAUCCCCCCCCCCCAGAAGGAGGUAAAGGAGAGAGGGAAGGGCUAAACAACCCUCCAGGAGAAAUGUGAAGGAGAUGAGGAAGGGCUUGAUAUCCCUCUCCCAAAAGGAGGAGGUGAAGGAGAGGGGGGAGGGCUCAGUGUCCCCCAGGAGAAGCAGGUGAAGGCAAGGGGGAGGGAUGACAGACUGGGGCUCUCUCCACUCACACAUACUCUUUUAUCUGGCCUCUGGUGGAAUAUGGCCUCAGCCCCUGACUGAGGCUGGCUCCCUGACUAUCAUCCCCCAAGGGGAUCUAUUAGCACCAUGGGGCCUCCUGCUGUGUCCCCAAGUACUAGUUCAUCCCCCUCUUUCACAGCUCGAAAGAGGAACUGAGGCAUUCUCAUGCCCCCUUGAUCCAUACCUGGGGCAGAACAGUCAGUCAGGCUUGGAGGAGGAGGUGGGAUUGGGGGGGGGGCAUCACCCUGGGCGAGGUCCAGCUGAGAUGCUGGUCAGUGCUAGCUAGCCACCUCCUCUUCUCCGGUUGUUAGUGGGGAAGAAGGAGGAAUUAGGCAGGGCUCUAGGGCCCCUGGUCCUGGUCCCUUAGAAAUAGCAAUAGCCAAACAAGCAUCUCCCUCUCCCCAGCUCCAGAGAUCACCCAGAGAGGGAGCUCUUGGCCCCAAACCUGCAAAAACUGGGUUCCAGCCCUGAUUCCUCUCCUCACUGGCUGGGUGACUUUAAAUAAAUCACUUCUGUUCUCUGGGCAAUAAGUAUCCCUGUCCCCGUCCCUCCCAAGGAGGAACCGAGAUCUGCCGAGGUGCUCAGAGUUUCCUAGGAAGAAGGUGCUAAAUCAGCUUCCCUCAUGAGCACAAAAGGAAAUUCCCGCCCAGUUUUCUGUCCGUCCCACCUGAUUACAGAGACUUCUUGAAGUGAGGGCCACCUCUUUUAUCCCUCCCCCUCCCCCCUGCCUCCAGCCUGCUGAGCAUUCCCAAUGGAUUUAAAUUUUUUCUCUGGAAGCUGAUCUCUUGUCAGGGAAGCAAUGCCAGAAGGAGGCUUGGGGACCACUGUCCCGGUACUCGGCGCACCUGAGCUGCCCGGCUCAGCUUUCCCUCCCUGCCCCGGGGUGACUCCCCCUGCUCACGGAGCCAGGAAGAGCCACGGGAGGCAGCUGCCAAAUAGCUCAGCUGAACAAAGAGAGGAAUGGCCUAGGGCCUUGAGUUUUUCCCAUGGAAAAUAGUCCCUGGAAAAACACACACACACACACACACACACCAGCCCUGGUGCUCAGGUAUUGCCCAUUCAGAGGCCUGGAGGUGCCGGGCCUGGCCACUUAAAGGCUGUGGGGCCUUGGGCAAGACACUUUCCCCCGGGGUCCCUGGUCCUGCUUCUGCGCUUGAGGGAUUCAAAGCCCUUCUUGUUUCGUCAUCGCUAGCUCCCCUUGCGUUCUGAGGUCUUUCCAAGUCCCUCUCGGAGCCCCAGAGCCCACAUGGCAUCUGAAGGCGGGGGCACGGUCCUGCCUGCUGGCCAGCACCCUCCUCUUUCUUGGGUCUCCUUCCGUUUUCACGAAGUUCAUCCGCCCUGUGCUCGAUCCCAUUCUGCAGGCCGGGCUCGCUUCCCCCCACCCGUUAUCCCUCCUUCUUUUGUCUUCUUCACGUCCUUCCUUGCUCUCUAUUUCCCGAUCUCUGAAAGCUUCUCCCGAACGAUUCCCCAUUCCUCAACUCCUACCCCCAUCCCCCGGAUCGAGGGGAUGGGGCUGACUCCACGUCUGUGUUCUGGGUGUUGGCUCUCUGGGGCCAUCUGUCUUUCCCUCGGUAUGUCCCCUGCCUCCAUCCUGUCCCUUUGUCUGUGUCCUGCGUGUCUCUGUCUUGUUUAGAUUGUGAACCCCAGGGGCAGGGACCCCUGUCUGACUCAAUGUUCUGUACAGCACCUGCAGGUGCGUGAAUAAAUGUUAAUCCAUGGUUCAAAGAGUGCCCAGGUCAUCUUGGGGAAGCAGGUUGGGGGACAGGCGGGCUAAUGGGUGGCUGGGCUUAACAUUUGUUGAGACUAAGGUGGGGAGGCAGGGAAGGGCAGGUGGAACUUCUGAGCUGAUCCUAGCCUGCCCUUUCCUUCCCAAAGACCCUGGGGUGGCAAUGGGGGUGGGGAGGUAUGCAUUAUCAGGUUUGCUAGGGGAGGGCAGAGGAUUGUGCCUAAACCUCUGGGUUCCCCCUGAAGAAAGCCCUCCCCAACAGCUGCUGCAUCCUACCACCAACCCCCCCCCCUGCCCCAACCCCAGCUAGUCAGAGACUUUGUUAGGGGAAAGGACAUAAAAGCUGUCCCACCCCACCUCACCCCAGCCAACCUGAGAACUACCCACAGCUACGCUAUCCAGACAACCCCAGGCUGCUUUCUCCUGUCCCAGGGAAGGUGUAGACUAAGAGUCCACACUGACCCAAAAGAAUCUUGGGAUGGGGGCUGGAAGAAUCAUGGUCUGUGCAAGGAGAGUAUCCGGGAGGAACUUUCUCAGUGACAUUCACUAAACUCUGGCCAAGGAUACCACCAGGCUUGUGGGGGUGGGGGGAGCAUCUGCUUCAACUGGGAAACAAAGCUGAAAAAGUGACAGAAUCCCUGUCCUUAGGGAGGGGGAGGUGGGGAGGAUACUACAAGACUGCAGCUAUAGGGGAGGGCAGACAGAAUGGUCUGGGAACAUUGGAGAAGAAUCAGAAAAAGGUGGUAGACACAUAAAAGUGAUGGCCAAAAGGGAGGAAGGGCAUGGAGUGGGUGGAGGAAGAGAAAGGGAUCGAAUUGAUCAAGUGAAUAGAGGCUGGAAAUUUGUUUGGGCAACAACUGGUAAGCCAGUGUUGUUGGUACAGAGUGUACAGUUCGAGCUAGGAGGGGGCCGAGAACUGAGAAGGUCAGAGCUGGGAGGAGCCUCAGAAUGGGGACUCUAGAAAGGCCAGGAGAGUUGGGAGGAAACCUAGGACAAAGGGAUGGGUGUUGUCUUUGGCAAUUUCUUAUUUCUCUCUGAGAACCUUUAAAAUGAAGAGUUGGGACCAGGAGGACUGAGAGCUCCACCUGCUCUAAGACUGCUUUGCAAAUGAGGUUUGGGUCCUAAGAACACAAAACAUGGUGUAUCAACAAAUUAGUCACCAAACAUGGACUUACUGCCCUGCCCUCUGGAAGCUUACAUCCGGGGCACUUUGGGAGGCUUUUGCACCGAGUCUUAAAGGGAGGGAAGAAUUCGGAGGUGAAAGUCAGGAGUGUGUUCUAGGCAUGGAGGAUGGCUUGGGGCAUUCCUCAAGGAACAGAGCAGAGGGGCUAAAGCUUUAAUGUGCAGGGAGUGGAUCAAGGUCUAGGGGGCCUGAAAUGAUAGGUUGGACUGGCUUUAAAAGGAUUUGAUAUUUUAUCCUUGAAUCAAAAGGAGUCCCUGAGGAUUAUUGUCAGGAAAGGGCACUGUCAGACUGUGCUUAAGAAUAAUCCCUUUGGCUACUGUGAAGCAGGAAUACCCAAUGCAGAGGAUAUUGGAAAGGGUCUGGAGGAAGGUGGUGAGUAGCUGGAUUGGGCACGGUAGAUUACCCUCAACAGAAUUAGGACGUUUGGAAGAAGGGAGAGUUUAGGGGCCAAGAUCAUGAAUUUGGUUUGGUGUUUGUUGCAUUGAAGAAGUCUCUGGGACAUUGAAAUGGGCUCUGGAUUGGUGAGUCCAGAGCAGAAUCCAGGAGCUUCGGACCUAGAGCUCUGUGAGCUGUCUGACUGUCCGGGUGCCACCCUGUGGGGCAGGGUCCCCACCUCUGUGUACUCUGUCUGGGCAAAGGGACAGGGCUUCUGCCCCAGUAGCCACAGGCUGGCCCAAAGGACCCUAGAGGAGGGGGCUGGGGGUAGGAAGGUAGGGAAGAGACUAAUUCCAUGAGAAUGUUUUUCACGAUUCUCCCAUAAAGCUCCCAUAAAGCGCAUCCAUUCCACAUUGUGCCCAUUUCCGCUAACCCCUCUAAUGGUUCCUAAAUAGUUCCUAACUUUUUUUUUUAGUGGCCUGGAUCUUUUUGCCAAAUGGAGCCCAUGAACCCUAUCUCAAAAUCAAGUUUCUAAAUGCCUAAAAUACACAGAAUUACAUAGAAAGCCAAUUAUAGCAAAAUAGAAUUGUCUACGUUCAUAAUUUCCCUGAAAAUUUUCCAUGGAUCCCUUGGGGAGGAGUAAAGAGAGGUCCCCAAGGGUUCAUGGACAAGAGAUUGGAAAUCCCUGGUCUAACCUUUCCAGAGGCAUCCAGAUGCUGAAAAGCCUUGGCUUGGAAAGCUGCCUGUCUCCUCAGGAAAAGAGGUGGUGGAGGAUGCAUCUGAGGCAGAACCAGGGGUUAUGGCAGCAACCUGUUCUCCCCCCUCCACAUUGCCCAACGUGGCCUCCAUGUUGGAAUGAACUAAAUGUGGGCAGCCAUUUCUAAUAGAUUGACUGAAUUGGACUCUUCCAUAUUGGGAAACAUGCUAGAGCCAUGAGAUGGGGUAACAGGGAGCCAUAUCAGGAGAAGGGAGGGCAUGACGAUGGAAAUGUAGGGACAAAGUUUUCAGUUCCUUCUAUAAUCAGGGCCCUCUCAUCACCUGCCUCGGCUUUCAUCUCCACCUGUGUGAUUGGUCCUCUACGUCUCUCCCCCUAUUUACUGAGGGGAUUGGGAAGAAUGGCUGUCCUUCAGGAUAGAGCUGGGAGAAACCAGUACUCAUUGAGGCUGCCUCAAUCAUUUUACAUUUGAGUAAACUGAGGCCCAGAAAGAAAGGGACUUGGUCACCAAGCUGGGAACAGAACCCAAGGUUCUUCUGAAUCCCAAGCAGAUCAUGUGCCGAAAUAUUUGAUAUCCUGCCAUUUGGGGGAGCAAGCAAGUCUUCAUUUUUCUUCCUUGCUCCCAGCUUCUGGUGCUAAGAACCACAAAGCAACAGCUCCCUGCCUAUGACCCCUCCAGGAAGGAGAUAAAAGUGGGCCCACUGAGGCAGGAAAGGGCAGAAUCCCCCAGGCCCUUCUCUUGCCUCUCAGAGACAGAGCUGGGCAGGCGUGGCAGGAGGGGAGGCCCGGUUGUUCCCAGGCAGUACCAGCCUGCAGUUCUGAGGGAAGCUUCCAGCCCUCUGUCUCUCUCUACCAGCUUCUAAUUUGCAUCUCCCUCCCCCCACCCCAUAUCUCCCUCCCAGUCUGGCUGGGCAAGGCUUGACCUUUCAGCCCAAGCUCAUGACCCAUUGCCAUAGCAACGAAGCUUUGGUAUUAUCUCCUCAUGCCAUUAGGAAGGCUUUUUAUUUACUUAUUUUCUCUCAAUGUGGCUGCUUUUCCUGAAUGGUUUAGGAAGAAAGAGGGAGAGAAAGGGCUAAGGAGAGUGAGGAGGGACCAAGAGAGGCAAAGGCAGACAGGGAAGGAGGGAGAGGCCGGGAGAGCAGUCCUGGAGGACGGGCUGCCUCUGAGAGGUAGGGGAUGGGCAGAUGGAGAGAGCAGAGGACAGGAGCUGGCCACGGACAGACAGACAGCAUCAAGGAGGGAGGGGCCAAGCCAGUCAGGGGAUGGUUAGAGGAGCAGAGCCAGAGGACAAACAAGACCCAAGACAAGGACACAGAGAGAGGAAGAGGCAGGGAUAUGCCGGCUGGCUCAAUCAACCCAAGAGCAUUUGUUAAACCCCUACUAUGUAUCACAUGCCCUGCUAAAUACCAGGUUACAAAGAUAAUCCUGAAACACCUACUAUGUAUCACAUGCCCUGCUAAAUACAAGGUUACAAAGAUAAUCCUGAAAUACCUACUAUGUAUCACAUGUCCUGCUAAAUGAGCUAAAAGAAUUCUGAAAUACCUACUAUGUAUCACAUGCCCUGCUAAAUACAAAGUUACAAAGAUAAUUCUGAAACACCUACUAUGUAUCAUAUGCCCUAUUAGUUAAAGAAUUUGAAAUACUAUGUAUCACAUGUCCUGCUAAAUACAAGGUUACAAAGAUAAUCCUGAAAUGCCUACUAUGUAAACACAUGCCCUGCUAAAUGAGAGUUAAAAGAAUUCUGAAACACCUACUAUGUAUCACAUGUCCUGCUAAAUACAGGGUUACAAACAUAAUCCUGAAAGUAAAACAGAGGCAGAAGGCAGACCCAGGGGUCAAAGAGAGGAGAGGAAGAGACAGCAGGGAUGGAGAUGAAGCAGAGAAAGAUGGAGACAGGAACAGGCAGUGCAGUGGGGGAGGGAGGGCCAGAAGGGAGGCAGCCAGAGAGCAGGAAACAGAGGUGCAGAAAGGUGGAGGCACUGAGAUUGAGAGUGCUAGGGAUAGGGGUCAGGACAAAAAAGCAGAGGGACAUACACAGGAAGGGAGGGGGCAGAGAAAGAGGCAGAGGCCAGAUGGCAGGAAGAAAGGCAAAGAACAGAGAGAUAGGACAGAGGAAGAGUGACAGGGUUAUCAAGGGCAGGAGAAGGGGAAGGUGGAAGAAAUGGGAUAAAAGGGGUAAGGAGGCAGGAAAAAACCCACAGGAAAACCUGAGCUAAGAGAGCAUCACCACAAGAGCCUAGAGCCUGAAGACAAAAUGAUAGACAAACAGACAAGACAGAUCAGAGAGGGCCUGACCACAGAUGCAAAGCAGAAGGCAGGCUGGGGUCUAGACCAUCUGAAUCCAGGCUGCCCCACCACAGAGCAGAGCUGAGCUGCCCAAAAGCAGCAGAACGCAGGCUGACGAGGAGGCCGAGUGGGCCAGCACUUGGCUGGACCUACAAGAGCCGGCUCAGAUGGAAGGAGAGCCAAGUGGUGAUACCUGGCACCCGGUUCUGAACCUGGACAGACAGAUGGCAGGGCUGGGGGAGUGGGGGAGGAGGAUGACAGGGAAAGGUCCAAAGCUGGCCAGGCCACCAGAGAGAGCAGCAGAAAGAUACACAUUCACCAGAGCCCAGCACUCUCCCAGGGCUUAUAAAUAAACAGGCACGUGGGAAACAAGGAUUCUUUCUCCAGGAAAUAUAAUUUAUGUUUACAGACAUAAAUUUCUUUUAAAGAUUAUCCUUCUUCCACUCAGUUGCUGUGCCCCUAACAGUGUCCCUGAGUUACCCCCAGCCCCCUCGGCCCCAGCAAUUAUCUUCCCUUUAUUGCGCUGAUGAUCCAGAUGUGGUCCUGGCCAAAGGGAAGGGGAGAGGGCAAGGGACCGGGGCUGCCCCUGGCCCGGGAGGGAGGCGGGGCCAGCUGGUCCCAUCCUCUCCUGCUCUAUAGCAGUUGUCCCAGAUGUGCCCAUGUAUGGGCAUGGAAAGAGCAGGCAGCCGGGGAGCGGCAGCAUCCCUGCCGGAUCGCCACCAUACAGAGAACCUUUCCGGGGGGCAAAGGGAGCCCGAACUGGAGGCCUGGCACAGGCGCAACAUGGCCAUGCCGGCUUCUUUUCAAACUUGACAGCUGGGAGGAACGGCUCCUUAUCGGGGGGCUGGGGGAGAGCCAGUGACACUCCAAACUCCAGAAGGCCAAGGGUUUGAGAAAAAUGGGGCAUGGGACUUCCUUUCCUUGUUGCUGAAUACUGGUUAAGCGGCAGGUCUUAAGACCAGCAGCCUGAAGAGGUAUGUAGGAUCCCAGUGGAGGGAUGGAGGUGUUACAAUGCCAAACACAGGCCUUUGCUGGCCUCCAGGCCCACAGAACUCCGGUCCUCCUUACCCAUCACGCCCACCUAGCCUGCUUAGCAUGUCCCAGCUCUAGGCAGAGGCAAACUGCCCCUUCUGCAGGAAGGUUCCAGUUUCCAGUCCCUGCAGGGCAGGAUAUUUCUAGGGGACGCCCCCUGAGAGGUAGUGACCCUUAGGGGAAGAGGAAGGAAGUGCCCGAUGGGAAGAAUGGCUGAUGGGCCUCCCCAGACCCAGUGAGAUUUGAUGGCCCCAAAGCCACCGGCAGCUCGGGAGGCCCUAGCGGGGACAUUCGCCAGAGGGGAGCCGUGGUUUGAGACCCAGGAGGGAGGAGAGAGGGGUGUCCCUUUGGGCCUCGGAAGGAAGCCGAUGCCCGGCGGGGCAGGGCCGACUCCCCCAAGCAGUGGGUGGGCUAUGCUGCGGGUAGCCACGGAGGGCGGCUGUUACCGGUUCCCAGGUACCUGCAGGGGCCUGGAAAGAAGCAAAGUCGAGUGAGUCAGGGCCUGGGGGGCUCAGGUGGGCUCGCCUUUCCUGGAGAUCCCUAGGCCCGGGGGCUUGUGCCCUACACAGAGAGCAACCUCCUCCUCCUCCUCCUCCUCCUCCUCCUGCUCCUCCUCCUGCAGCUCCUCCUCCUCCUCUUCCUCCUCCCGGUCCAGUUCGCGCGCCUCCUCCUCGUCCUCCUCCACCUCCUCGUCCUCCCUCCCCUCCGCGCGCACGGCGGGCGGAGGACUGGGCGCCCGGGCAGGGGCCGGGGCUGGACGGGGGCGCGGGGGCCGGGGCGGCGGCGGCGGCUCGUCGCGCUCCGCCAUACGCUCCACGGCGCCCUCGCCCACCAGGAAGACGGUGUCGAGGACCCGCGGGGGGCCCGUGACCGGGUUGUGGUCGUAGGAGAAGACGCGCAGCCCGCGCAGCGGCCGCAGGUCCGGGAAGCCGCCCAGCUGGUUGCGGUCCACGUCGAGGAUGCGCAGGCGGCCCAUGCGCAGCAGCACGUUGGGGAAGACCUCGAGCCGGUUGCCGUAGAGCCAGAGGCCGCGCAGGCCCACCAUGCUGGGCAGCUCGGCGGGCAGGCCGCGCAGCCGGUUGUCGCCCAGCUGCAGGGACUGGAGCGCCGGCAUGCUGAGCAGCGCGCGCGGGAAGCGCCGCACGUAGUUGCCCUCGAGCCAGAGGCAGCGCAGGCUCUGCAGCUGCGCGAAGUCGGCGGGCAGCCCCAGCAGCCGGUUGCUGCCCAGGUAGAGGCGGCUGAGGCGCGGCAGGCGGCACAGCGCCUCGGGCACGUGCUCCAGCUUGUUGAAGUCCAGCGCCAGGAUGCGCAGCUCGCGCAGCUCCUCGAUCUCGUCGGGCAGCUCGCGCAGGCCCGUGCCGCUGAUGUAGAGCCUCUGCAGGCCGAGCAGGGCGCACACCGAGGCGGGCAGGCGCCGCAGCCGCCGCCCGCUCAGCUCCAGCAGCUGCUCGCCGUUGCUCAGCUGCUCCGCCACGUCCGACGGCAGCUCGUCCAGCGUGGACUCGGCGAUGCCCAUCCUGCGCUCAUGGCCCCCGGGAGCAGCGGGGGCCGCCGGCGGCGGGCGCCCUGCCCGCGCUCGGGCCCCCGCCCGGCUGCCAGCCUCCCGCCCCCGCCCCGGCCCGGCCCGCGCUCCUCAGCGUCCGCCCCCCCCCCUCCCAGGCGGGCUCUCGCUGCCUCCUCCCGCCCCCGCCCCCGCCCCCCGCCGGAGACUGCCCAGCCCGGCUGUCCCUUCCUGACCUGGCUCCGCGCCAGGGAUGGGGCUGCCUUCCCUCUCCAGUCCUGUUCCACCAGAGCCCCCUGACAGAGCUCCGGCCCUCCCCUCCACCCAGGUCUCGGGAGGCUCCCGCCCGCCCAGGACCAGGUUGCGCCCACCUGUCCUAAUCCAGCUCUCCAAGCAGGGUUCCAGAAGCCCGCUCCGCCCUCCCAGUCAUCCCUCUCCGCCCCCGCCCCGAAGGAGCUUGCCCCCCUCCCGGUCCGAUCCAGCCCCCCGGUCCCAGCCCCCGGGACGGGAGGGGAGGCGCCGCCGGGCUGCCCGCCGCCAGUCUCCCGAUCGCCCUCCGGGACUCCCCCGCUCGCACUGUCUGACUCCGGUUCCCACAGACUUGAUGCUUAGCGACCCGUCGCCAUGGAAACCCCCCGACGCGGUUCCAGCUGCCAAUGAGAGGGAGGGAGGAAGAGAGAGGGGCGGGAGUUAGACUAGGGAAGGGGGGCGCCCCCUCCCGAGGGCCGGUCCCGGUCCCUGGGCACCGCCUCCCUGCCUCUGGAGCUGGAGGGAACCAGACCAGCAGCGCCCGGGCCCGCAGGUACCCCACGCCGCCCUACUCGCAUCCCUUCGAGCUCUGGCCUUCUUACCCACUCCUCCUCGGCGCGGUCCCUUCUGUAGUUUACAUGAAUCCCGGGCAUGGCUCAGCCAAGUAGCCCACGUGCCACUUGUCCCAGUCCGCCCUCCCCACCCCCUUCCUCUCCCAAUUACACCAGAGCUAAAAAAAAAUAAAUAAAUAAACUGACAAAUCGAUGAAUUCUCUCUGUAUUCAACUUCAGCCAGUUCCAGACAUCACCACAAUUAACCCGUAACGCUUCCUAGAACAUGGAAGUGCCUGAGCUUGGGAAGAUCUUAGAACAGAACAGCUUCCGGGGAGGUUCCUGAGGGCAAGGGUCCGGCCUUCAAAGGUCCGGGAUCCUAGGAGCCAAAAAGCAGAGAAGCUGAGGCUUCCCUUUGAGCUGGGUUCAAAUGCUGUCAUGUUAGAGCUGAGACCCUGGGUGCUAAUUCACUUGUCCCUGCCUCUGAGCUCAUCUGGGAGGGGAGGUUGUACUUGACUGGCACCCAGUGUCCCUUCAAACUCAGUAUCCC